GACGAACGCUGGCGGCGUGCUUAACACAUGCAAGUCGAACGGAAAGGCCCUGCUUUUGUGGGGUGCUCGAGUGGCGAACGGGUGAGUAACACGUGAGUAACCUGCCCUUGACUUUGGGAUAACUUCAGGAAACUGGGGCUAAUACCGGAUAGGAGCUCCUGCUGCAUGGUGGGGGUUGGAAAGUUUCGGCGGUUGGGGAUGGACUCGCGGCUUAUCAGCUUGUUGGUGGGUAGUGGCUUACCAAGGCUUUGACGGGUAGCCGGCCUGAGAGGGUGACCGGCCACAUUGGGACAGGGAAUCGGCCCAGACUCCUACGGGAGGAAGCAGUGGGGAAUAUUGAACAAUGAGCGGAAGCGUGGUACAGCAACGCCGCGUGCGGGAAGGCGGCGAACAGGUUGUAGACCGCUUUCGCCUGUGACGAAGCGUAAGUGACGGUAAUGGGUAAAGAAGCAACGGCUAAGUACGUG
rnacentral:rRNA from 1 species